AACUAUCUUUUUAUUACCAGACAAGGUGUUGCUAUUUAUUGACUGCAUAAAAUUAUGCAAAACAGGUUAUACAAUAUGCACACAUCUAACUGUUGACUUAAAGGGUGGGUGUUGGAUGAUAGACAAAACCCUCAGAAAGGUCAAUUGACACAUCAGAGCUGGAGCGCUUUAUUAUGUUUCUGUUUUCACUAUUUGGAUUAAACUAGUAAGAAGCCCAUUACUGCAAUGAGAAUGCCUUAACAUUUAUAUUAUAACUUAUCAUUUGUUUCUUUUAUACAUGCAAGAACCUUUGCUGAGUUUUGACAAUCUAGGAGAUGCUGUACUCAACAUCUGCUGCUGUUAAAAUUUUUUAACCUGGCUUAAUGGAUGUGCUAACUAUUCAUAUCAUGGACGACUCAUCUGACAGCUCACUGUUCAACGUCCUGGUCCAGUGUGCUGAUCCAUUACUGUUAAACUACUGGCUCCAUAAGACUUUCUUCAACAGUGCGGAGGUGCAGCAGACCAACACCCUGAGAAUGCACGACUGUCACGGUUUAGUCUUUGUACUGAGGGUCCUGCACCGCUCUUCACGCCUCCCUAAUUCCCAUUACUGGUGCCCUUUCCUGGUAACACUGUGCCUUGAUGCCCUGGCAUUCCACUAUCACCUGCCCUCUGUGCCCCAGUGGAACGGCACCAUUCAGGAGGCAAUGACGGGAAACAGCCUAGAGCUAAGACGCUGAGAGACUGUGAUUUUCUGAUAUCCCUCCAGACCCGCCGACUCAACAACUAGUGUAAAACCCAUUUGGAAUAGACCAACACAAGACUGUCCAGUCUACAACGACAACAAGACGCAUAUCUUACGUCUAUACACGAUGUAAACAAGAGUCUUCAAUUCCGCCAAUAAUCGCAAGAGUAAAAUCACAUUUGAACUUUAUUUUUUCUCUCAUGUAGAUUUUUGCGAGUAAGUUUUUCUCAGACAUGAGCUAAAUGAGCUUGAGCUAAUGAUGGCACAGAACCGCCAAAAUUUUAUUUUAAGGCAUCAUUCAAUGCGCAUCUGCGCCGAAGGAAUAAUGAGAUAUAACCCUACAACAUUGUAUGCUUACUGCAUAGCCAUCUUAUAUCAUUUAUAUCUACUAUGUAUUAUACCAAAACCAAACUCUUUUAUUUCAAUAAACAGAAACGUAUUGAAAGGUA